GGUCAGAUUUCUACAGAUAAUUAUGAUGAAUUAGGCUUAUUGAUCAGGUCAGAUUUCUACAGAUAAUUAUGAUGAAUUAGGGUUAUUGAUAAGGUCAGAUUUCUCCAGAUAAUUAUGAUGAAUUAGGCUUAUCGAUCAGGUCAGAUUUCUACAGAUAAUUAUGAUGAAUUAGGCUUAUUGAUCAGGUCAGAUUUCUACAGAUAAUUAUGAUGCAUUAGGCUUAUUGAUCAGGUCAGAUUUCUCCAGAUAAUUAUGAUGAAUUAGGCUUAUUGAUCAGGCCAGAUUUCUACAGAUAAUUAUGAUGAAUUAGGCUUAUUGAUCAGGUCAGAUUUCUCCAGAUAAUUAUGAUGAAUUAGGGUUAUCGAUCAGGUCAGAUUUCUACAGAUAAUUAUGAUGAAUUAGGGUUAUUGAUCAGGUCAGAUUUCUCCAGAUAAUUAUGAUGAAUUAGGGUUAUUGAUCAGGUCAGAUUUCUCCAGAUAAUUAUGAUGAAUUAGGGUUAUUGAUCAGGUCAGAUUUCUCCAGAUAAUUAUGAUGAAUUAGGCUUAUUGAUCAGGCCAGAUUUCUACAGAUAAUUAUGAUGAAUUAGGCUUAUUGAUCAUUUGUUCUACCAGGUUCUAUCUGUCCGUCUCCAUCCACGAUUACAGCGAACACAUUAACAUAUCUAGCUAUACCCCUCUCAGUACAAACAAGACUCAUGAAUGAGAGUUGAGUGACACAGAAUAAUCGUGUAAUUUAGCAGACAAGUGCACGUCGUAACAGCUAAUAAUAUUGUCUCCUGCCUGUCUGUGCAAAACAGCUGACGAUACGCAGGAUCCCAGAUUUGAAAAACACUGGUGGAUUCUUGUCGUUUCUUUGACGUUUGUUAGUUUGAGCUUGAAAACUGGAAUUGUGGGCCUUUUUCAUUCUCAAAAGGGAUUGAGAAUAUUUUACUAGUGAAGCCACUUGCAGGUCGGACUAUAUUUCAGACUUCUCAGCACGACCAGUGCCAGCAGAAUGAUGGACACUAUGGAUAAUAAUCAGUGGUGUAAAGUAGUAAAAAUACUUUAAAGUACUACUUAAGUAGUUUUUUUGGGGGGUAUCUGUACUUUACUUUACUAUUUAUAUUUUAACUUUUCCUUUUAUUUCACUAAAUUCCUGAAGAAAAUAAUGUACUUUUUUUCUAAUGUACUCCAUACAUUUUCCCUGACACCCAAAAGUACUCGACAGGAAAAUGGUCCAAUUCACACACUUAUCAAGAGAACAUCCCUGGUCAUCUCUACUGCCUCUGAUCUGGAGGACUCACUAAACAGAGAACAUCCCUGGUCAUCCCUACUGCCUCUGAUCUGGAGGACUCACUAAACAGAGAACAUCUCUGGUCAUCCCUACUGCCUCUGAUCUGUAGGACUCACUAAACAGAGAACAUCCCUGGUCAUCCCUACUGCCUCUGAUCUGGAGGACUCACUAAACAGAGAACAUCCCUGGUCAUCCCUACUGCCUCUGAUCUGGAGGACUCACUAAACAGAGAACAUCCCUGGUCAUCCCUACUGCCUCUGAUCUGGAGGACUCACUAAACAGAGAACAUCCCUGGUCAUCCCUACUGCCUCUGAUCUGGUGGAAUCACUAAACACAAAUACUUUGUUUGUAAAUGAUUGUCCAAGUGUUGGAGUGUGCUGCUGGCUAUUCGUAAAUAAAAAAAACAAGAUAAUCGUGCCGUCUGGUUUGCUUAAUAUAAGGAAAUUGAAAUUAUUUACAGUACCAAUCAAACAUUUGGACACCAACUCAUUCCAGGGUUUGUCUUGUAGAAUAAUAGUGAAGACAUCAAAACUAUGAAAUAACACAUAUGGAAUCAUGUAGUACCCCAUUUUUUUUUUUAAAACAAAUCCAAAUAUAUUUUAGAUUUUAGAUUUAGACACUCUUGGCAUUCUAUCAACCAGCUUCAUGAGGCAGUCACCUGGAAUGCAUUUCAAUUAACAGGUGUGCCUUGUGAAAAGAUAAUGCGUUUGAGCCAAUCAGUUGUGUUGUGACAAGGUAGGGAUGGGUAUACAGAAGAUAGCACUAUUUGGUAAAAUACCACUUUGACAGUCCAUCAUUACUUUAAGACAUGAAGGUCAGUCAAUCUGGAGAAUUUCAAGAACUUUGAAAGUUUCUUCAAGUGCAGUCGCAGAAACCGUCAAGCGCUAUGAUGAAACUGGCUCUCAUGAGGACCGCCACAGCAAAGGAAGACCCAGAGUUACCUCUGCUGUAGAGGAUAAGUUCAUUAGAGUUAACUGCACCUCAGAUUGCAGCCCAAAUAAAUGCUUCACAGAGUUCAAGUAACAGACACAUCUCAACAUCAGAGGAGACUGUGUGAAUCAGGCCUUCAUGGUUGAAUUGCUGCAAAGAAACCACUACUAAAGGACACCAAUGUGGGGAAGAGACUUGCUUGGGCCAAGAAACCCGAGCAAUGGACAUUAGACUGGUGGAAAUCUGUUCCUUGGUAUGAUGAGUCCAGAUUUGAGAUUUUUGUCUUUUUGAGACGCAGAGUAGGUGAAUGGAUGAUCUCCGCAUGUGUGGUUCCCACCGUGAAGCAUGGAGGAGGAGGUGUGAUGAUGUGGGGGUGCUUUGCUGGUGACACUGUGGGUGAUUUAUUUAGGAUUCAAGGCACACUUAACCAGCAUGGCUACCACAGCAUUCUGCAGCGAUACGCCAUCCCAUCUGGUCUGGGUUUAGGGGGACUAUCAUUUGUUGUUCAACAGGACAAUGACCCAACACACCUCCAGGCUGUGUAAGGGCUGUUUGACCAAGAAGGAGAGUGAUGGAGUGCUGCAUCAGAUGACCUGGCCUCCACAAUCACCUGACCUCUACCCAACUGAGAUGGUUUGGGAUGAGUUGGACCGCAGAGUGAAGGAAAAGCAGCCAACAAGUGCUCAGCAUAUGUGGGAACUCCUUCAAGACUGUUGGAAAAGCAUUCCUCAUGAAGCUGGUUGAGAGAAUGCCAAGAGUGUACAAAGCUGUCAUCAAGGCAAAGGGUGGCAACUUUAUAUAAAAUAUAUUUUGAUUUGUUUAGCACUUUUUUGGUUACUACAUGAUUCCAUAUGUGUUAUUUCAUAGUUUUGAUGUCUUCGCUAUUAUUCUACAAUGUAGAAAAUAGUAAAAAAUAAAGAAAAACCCUGGAAUGAGUAGGUGUCUAAACUUUUGACUGGUAAUGUAUACUCUUACUUUUGAUCCUUCAGUACAUUUAAAAACAAAUACUUUAAGAUUUUUCCUCAAGUAGUAUUUUACCGGGUGAAUUUCACUUUUACUUUAGUCAUUUUCUAUUAAGAUAUCUUUACUUUUACUCAAGUAGGACAAUUUUGGUACUUUUUCCACCACUGAUAAUAAUCACAAAAGCCAGCUCUGUCUACUGGUAAGUGAAGCAAGCUCGCUAGCUAGCAAACAGAUCAACACACGAUUGCUUGCAAAUGUGCAUAGCAUACCAGUGGGUGAUUAGCCUAUAGAAAAAUAAAUGUUUGCAAACUUUGCUGGAGUUGCUAGCUGGUUGAUGUAAUUGUUUUCCUCUUGGAUGUGGAGUUUAUUUUCGCAACUUUUCUAAUGGCGAAUUUAUUCAACCCGAUGGUCGCUGAGGGUCGACUUUGUCAGGCAAGUGUUUGCACUGCUUGAGAUCAAGCAGAUAACGGACCUCCUGUUGCUUAGAAUGAUAUUUUACUGCUGGAACGUCCAUAGCUAGACUCCACUUGUAAAUUGUCAUUUUUAAAGAGCAGACUAACCUGCAAGCUUGUUGUAGGCUGCAAGCAAACGAGAACACCAGCUGUAUGAUACUGACUGAUUGGGCGGCAGGUAGCCUAGUGGUUAGAGCAGGUAGCCUAGUGGUUAGAGCACGUAGCCUAGUGGUUAGAGCAGGUAGCCUAGUGGUUAGAGCAGGUAGCCUAGUGGUUAGAGUGUUGAGCCAGUAACCGAAAGGUUGUUUGCUGGAUCAAAUCCCCGAGCUGACAAGGUAAAAAAAAUUGUCGUUCUGCCCCUGAACAAGGCAGUUAACCCACUGUUCCCCGGUAGGCUGUCAAUGUAAAUAUGAAUUUGUUCUUAACUUCUUUGGGAUAGGGGGCAGUAUUUUCACGGCCAGAUAAAAAACAUACCCGAUUUAAUCUGGUUACUACUCCUGCCCAGAUACUAGAAUAUGCAUAUAAUUAGUAGAUUUGGAUAGAAAACACUCUAAAGUUUCUGAAACUGUUUGAAUGGUGUCUGUGAGUAUAACAGAACUCAUAUGGCAGGCCAAAACCUGAGAAGAUUCCAUGCAGGAAGUGCCCUGUCUGACAAUUUGUUGUCCUUCUGUUACAUCUCUAUCGAAAUUACAGCAUCUGUGCUGUAACGUGACACUUUCUUAGGCUUCCAUUGGCUCUCUAAAGCCGCCAGAAAGUGGAAUGGGGUGUCUGCUGUCUCUGGGCAAAGUAUAGGAGCAGAGUUUGUAAGUGGUCAGCCUGGGGACAGUGAGACUGGAGAUGCGCGGUCACGAGAACUCGCCAUGUUUUUCUUUCUCUCUUUGAAUGAAUACAACGUUGCCCGGUUGGAAUAUUAUCGCUAUUUUACGAGAAAAAUAGCAUAAAAAUUGAUUUUAAACAGCGUUUGACAUGCUUCUAAGUACGGUAAUGGAAUAUUUUGACAUUUUUUGUCACGAAAUGCGCUCGCGCGUUACCCUUCGGAUAGUGACCUGAACGCACGAACAAAACGGAGGUAUUUGGAUAUAACUAUG
rnacentral:lncRNA from 1 species